GCUCCUGUAUCUCAUUGGUAGAGCGUCCGACCGGUAUGCUGAAGGUCCCUGGUUCGACUCCUGUUGGGAGAA